rnacentral:tRNA from 1 species
CUUUUAAAGGAUAGAAGUAAUCCAUUG